AGCGGCGAACGGGUGAGUAACACGUGGGUGAUCUGCCCUGCACUCUGGGAUAAGCUUGGGAAACUGGGUCUAAUACCGGAUAUGACUACAGCAUGCAUGUGUUGUGGUGGAAAGAUUUAUCGGUGCAGGAUGGGCCCGCGGCCUAUCAGCUUGUUGGUGGGGUAAUGGCCUACCAAGGCGACGACGGGUAGCCGACCUGAGAGGGUGACCGGCCACACUGGGACUGAGACACGGCCCAGACUCCUACGGGAGGCAGCAGUGGGGAAUAUUGCACAAUGGGCGGAAGCCUGAUGCAGCGACGCCGCGUGAGGGAUGAAGGCCUUCGGGUUGUAAACCUCUUUCAGCAGGGACGAAGCGUGAGUGACGGUACCUGCAGAAGAAGCACCGGCUAACUACGUGCCAGCAGCCGCGGUAAUACGUAGGGUGCGAGCGUUGUCCGGAAUUACUGGGCGUAAAGAGUUCGUAGGCGGUUUGUCGCGUCGUUUGUGAAAACCCGGGGCUCAACUUCGGGCUUGCAGGCGAUACGGGCAGACUUGAGUGUUUCAGGGGAGACUGGAAUUCCUGGUGUAGCGGUGAAAUGCGCAGAUAUCAGGAGGAACACCGGUGGCGAAGGCGGGUCUCUGGGAAACAACUGACGCUGAGGAACGAAAGCGUGGGUAGCAAACAGGAUUAGAUACCCUGGUAGUCCACGCCGUAAACGGUGGGCGCUAGGUGUGGG
rnacentral:rRNA from 2 species